GAUGAACGCUGGCGGCGUGCUUAACACAUGCAAGUCGAGCGGUGAAGCAGGAGCUUGCUCUUGUGGAUCAGUGGCGAACGGGUGAGUAACACGUGAGCAACCUGCCCCUGACUCUGGGAUAAGCGCUGGAAACGGCGUCUAAUACUGGAUAUGUGAUGUGACCGCAUGGUCUGCAUCUGGAAAGAAUUUCGGUUGGGGAUGGGCUCGCGGCCUAUCAGCUUGUUGGUGGGGUAAUGGCUCACCAAGGCGUCGACGGGUAGCCGGCCUGAGAGGGUGACCGGCCACACUGGGACUGAGACACGGCCCAGACUCCUACGGGAGGCAGCAGUGGGGAAUAUUGCACAAUGGGCGGAAGCCUGAUGCAGCAACGCCGCGUGAGGGAUGACGGCCUUCGGGUUGUAAACCUCUUUUAGCAGGGAAGAAGCGAAAGUGACGGUACCUGCAGAAAAAGCACCGGCUAACUACGUGCCAGCAGCCGCAGUAA
rnacentral:rRNA from 1 species